GGAGGUGGAUGGGUGCUGGUGUGCCUGACGGGCUUCAAACCCGCUCGCAAGCCCAAAAGGCUUGUGGUAGGUUCGAUUCCUACCCACCUCCGCCA
rnacentral:tRNA from 1 species